UAGCUAGUUGGUAGGGUAAAGGCCUACCAAGGCGACGAUCGGUAGCUGGUCUGAGAGGAUGACCAGCCACACUGGAACUGAGACACGGUCCAGACUCCUACGGGAGGCAGCAGUGGGGAAUAUUGGACAAUGGGGGCAACCCUGAUCCAGCAAUGCCGCGUGUGUGAAGAAGGCCUGAGGGUUGUAAAGCACUUUCAGUGGGGAGGAGGAUUGACAGGUUAAGAGCUAGUUAAUUGGACGUUACCCACAGAAGAAGCACCGGCUAACUCCGUGCCAGCAGCCGCGGUAAUACGGAGGGUGCGAGCGUUAAUCGGAAUUAUUGGGCGUAAAGGGUGCGUAGGUGGUUGAAUAAGUUAUCUGUGAAAUCCCCGGGCUUAACCUGGGCAGGUCAGAUAAGACUGUUUGACUCGAGUAUGGGAGAGGGUAGUGGAAUUUCCGGUGUAGCGGUGAAAUGCGUAGAGAUCGGAAGGAACACCAGUGGCGAAGGCGGCUACCUGGCCGGAUACUGACACUGAAGCACGAAAGCGUGGGGAGCAAACAGGAUUAGAUACCCUGGUAGUCCACGCUGUAAACGAUGUCAACUAGUUGUUGGUGAUAUGAAUACCAUUAGUGACAC
rnacentral:rRNA from 1 species